AACGAACGCUGGCGGCAGGCUUAACACAUGCAAGUCGAACGAGAUCUUCGGAUCUAGUGGCAGACGGGUGAGGAACACGUGGGAACAUCCCUUUCAGUUCGGAAUAACGUUGGGAAACUAACGCUAAUACCGGAUACGUCCUUCGGGAGAAAGAUUUAUCGCUGAAAGAUUGGCCCGCGUCUGAUCAGCUAGUUGGUGAGGUAACAGCUCACCAAGGCUACGAUCAGUAGCUGAUCUGAGAGGAUGAUCAGCCACAUUGGGACUGAGACACGGCCCAAACUCCUACGGGAGGCAGCAGUGGGGAAUAUUGGACAAUGGGCGCAAGCCUGAUCCAGCCAUGCCGCGUGAGUGAUGACGGCCUUCGGGUUGUAAAGCUCUUUUGUCCGGGAAGAUAAUGACUGUACCGGAAGAAUAAGCCCCGGCAAACUUCGUGCCAGCAGCCGCGGUAA
rnacentral:rRNA from 1 species